rnacentral:rRNA from 1 species
AGUGAACGCUGGCGGUAGGCCUAACACAUGCAAGUCGAACGGCAGCACAGUAAGAGCUUGCUCUUACGGGUGGCGAGUGGCGGACGGGUGAGGAAUACAUCGGAAUCUACUUUUUCGUGGGGGAUAACGUAGGGAAACUUACGCUAAUACCGCAUACGACCUACGGGUGAAAGCAGGGGAUCUUCGGACCUUGCGCGAUUGAAUGAGCCGAUGUCGGAUUAGCUAGUUGGCUGGGUAAAGGCCCACCAAGGCGACGAUCCGUAGCUGGUCUGAGAGGAUGAUCCGCCACACUGGAACUGCGACACGGUCCAGACUCCUACGGGAGGCAGCAGUGGGGAAUAUUGGACAAUGGGCGCAAGCCUGAUCCAGCCAUACCGCGUGGGUGAAGAAGGCCUUCGGGUUGUAAAGCCCUUUUGUUGGGAAAGAAAAGCAGCAGGUUAAUACCCCGCUGUUCUGACGGUACCCAAAGAAUAAGCACCGGCUAACUUCGUG